rnacentral:lncRNA from 1 species
CUCUUGUUAGUCGGGACUCUUUCCUGAUAAGGAUUGAUUCUAAUUUGAUUUGGAAUUAGAUAGGAUCAAUCCUUAUCAGGUUUGGGCAUUGGGGACUUAGUUUUUGUGCGACAAAAAAUCAUUAAAGGGGCAUGUAGGCAAGAAGGGUUAUUUGGCGCGCUAUCUUCCUUCCCACUGCAAGUCCAUCUCCAUGCCUCCUUUCUUUCUUAUUCCAUCUCCAUGCCCCACUUCCUCUAGAUC